rnacentral:rRNA from 1 species
UACGGAGGGGGCUAGCGUUGUUCGGAAUUACUGGGCGUAAAGCGCACGUAGGCGGCUUUGUAAGUUAGAGGUGAAAGCCCAGGGCUUAACCCUGGAAUUGCCUUUAAGACUGCAUCGCUAGAAUUGUGGAGAGGUGAGUGGAAUUCCGAGUGUAGAGGUGAAACUCGUAGAUAUUCGGAAGAACACCAGUGGCGAAGGCGACUCACUGGACACAUAUUGACGCUGAGGUGCGAAAGCGUGGGGAGCAAACAGG